UGAACGACGCCGUCGGCAAGCACCGGAUCGUCGUGGACGAUCGGCCCGCAAUCGUUCGUGCCCGGAAUGUCGGCCGCGGUCAGCACCGCGACGACGCCCGCCGCCGCGCGCACCGCGUCGAGCCGCAUCGACGCGAUCCGCGCGUGCGGCUUCGCGGACAGGCCGAGCGCCGCGUGCAGCGUGCCCGCGACGAGCGGGAUGUCGUCGAUGUAGGUGGCGCGCCCGCUCACGUGCAGAUGCGCGGAUUCAUGCGGCCGCGAGACGUGGACCUGCCGGAACGCGUCGCGCUCGGCAUCGGCGGCGACGCUCAGGAAAGGUUCGGCUUGCUGAUUCAUUGCGAUGGCUCCGCUUGGCGUCGAUCGGUCAGGAGGCGGCCGGCUCGGCGGCCACUUCGCGCACGUUCACGGCCGACGCGGGCAGCGGAUCGUGCGGGCGGGUCUCCAGCCAGAAGCGGUACAGCAGGUUCUUCGCGGUCUCGAGCCGGUACGCGCUCGUCGCGCGCAUGUCGGUGAGCGGCGCGUAAUCGUGGUCGAGCGCGCGCAUCGCGGCGAGCGCGGCGGCCUCGUCCCAGACGGCACCGGCGAGCGCGGCUUCCGCAUGCGCUGCGCGCUUCGGCGUCGCGGCCAUCCCGCCGAACGCGAUGCACGGCGCGCGGAGCACCUCGCCGUCGGCCUCGAACGCGAACGCCGCGCAGACGGCCGAGAUGUCGGAAUCGAAGCGCUUCGACAGCUUGUACGUGCGAAACCGCAGGUUCGCGCGCGCGCCGGUGCGCUUGGGCACCUUCAGCGCGACGACGAGCUCGUGCUCGGCCAUGUCCUUCUUCUGAUAGCCGACGUACAGAUCCUCGAGCGGCAGCUCGCGCGCCGCGCGGCCGCCGCGCAGCACCACCCGCGCGCCGAGCGCGAUCAGGCCCGGCAUCGAAUCGCCGAUCGGCGAGCCGUUCGCGACGUUGCCGCCGAUCGUCCCCGCGUUGCGGAUCGGCAGCGAGGCGAAGCGCUUCCACAUCUCGACGAGCUCCGGAUAAUGCGCGGCGAGCGCCGCAUACGCAGCCUCGACCGACGCGCCCGCGCCGAUCUCGAUCCAGUCGUCGUGCUCGACGAUCCGGCGCAGCUCGGGCACCUGGCCGACGUACAGCACGUCGCCCAGAUCGCGCAGUUGCUUCGUCACCCACAGGCCGACGUCGGUGCUGCCCGCGAGCACGCGCGCGGCGGGCUUCUCGGCCUUCAGCCGCGCGAGCGCGUCGAGCGUGCGCGGCGCGUCGAACGCCUGGCCCGCGUGCUCGUAAUGGAACGUGUCGUCCCGGCGCAGCGCCUGCAGCGCGCGCGCGAGCGCGGCGACGUCGACGGGCGCCUUCGGCGGCCGCGCGUCGAACAUGCGCACCGCCGCGUCGACGAUCGGACGGUAGCCGGUGCAGCGG
rnacentral:rRNA from 1 species